rnacentral:rRNA from 1 species
UAGGGAAUCUUCCGCAAUGGACGCAAGUCUGACGGAGCAACGCCGCGUGAGUGAAGAAGGAUUUCGGUUCGUAAAACUCGGUUGUUAGAGAAGAACAGCGCAUAGAGUAACUGUUAUGCGUGUGACGGUAUCUAACCAGAAAGCCACGGCUAACUACGUGCCAGCAGCCGCGGUAAUACGUAGGUGGCAAGCGUUGUCCGGAUUUAUUGGGCGUAAAGCGAGCGCAGGCGGUCAAUUAAGUCUGAUGUGAAAGCCCCCGGCUCAACCGGGGAGGGUCAUUGGAAACUGGUUGACUUGAGUGCAGAAGAGGAGAGUGGAAUUCCAUGUGUAGCGGUGAAAUGCGUAGAUAUAUGGAGGAACACCAGUGGCGAAGGCGACUCUCUGGUCUGUAACUGACGCUGAGGUUCGAAAGCGUGGGUAGCAAACAGG